rnacentral:pre_miRNA from 1 species
GCCCGCCUCAGCCUCCCAAAGUGCUGGGAUUACAGGCAUGAGCCACUGCUUCCGGCCAUGUACUCAAUGUUUAGCGCCCACU